rnacentral:rRNA from 1 species
UACGGAGGGUGCAAACGUUGCUCGGAAUCAUUGGGCGUAAAGCGCACGUAGGCGGCCUGUUAAGUCGGAUGUGAAAUCCCUCGGCUCAACCGAGGAAGUGCAUUCGAAACUGGCAGGCUUGAAUAUGGAAGAGGGUCGCGGAAUUCCCGGUGUAGAGGUGAAAUUCGUAGAUAUCGGGAGGAACACCAGUGGCGAAGGCGGCGACCUGGGCCAAUAUU